NNNNCACGUAGGGACGGCAUGGAAACGUGCCUGUCCGAUUCCGUGUACUGGACCGGUCCGUUAUCUAUCACGCACUGUGCACUUCAAGUUCAACUUGAAGGUGGCCCAUUCUCCCAUAGAGGGUGAUAGGCCCGUGGAAAGGCAUGAGGUGAGGUGAUAGACGGUCGGCUCCAUGGAGUCGUGUUGCUUGAUAGUGCAGCACUAAGUGGGAGGUAAACUCCUUCUAAAGCUAAAUACCACCAUGAGUCCGAUAGCGAACAAGUACCGUGAGG
rnacentral:rRNA from 1 species